rnacentral:rRNA from 1 species
AUUGAACGCUGGCGGCAGGCCUAACACAUGCAAGUCGAGCGAGCGGCGGACGGGUGAGUAAUGUCUGGGAAACUGCCUGAUGGAGGGGGAUAACUACUGGAAACGGUAGCUAAUACCGCAUACCAUCAGAAGUGCCCAGAUGGGAGUAGCUAGUAGGUGGGGUAACGGCUCACCUAGGCGACGAUCCCUAGCUGGGCUGAGAGGAUGACCAGCCCAACUGGAACUGGGACACGGUCCAGACUCCUAUGUGGGGCAGCAGGGGGGAAUAUUGCACAAUGGGCGCAAGCCUGAUGCAGCCAUGACGAGUGUGUGAAGAAGGCCUUCGGGUUGUAAAGCACUUUCAGCGGGGAGGCGUUACCCGCAGAAGAAGCACCGGCUAACUCCGUGCCAGCAGCCGCGGUAAUAC